AAGCGCUUGCAACCAGACUUGCGCGCGCCGGUUCCCCCUCGCUUCUGCGUGGGCUACUCCGGCGUGUCCAGGCCAACAUCAGUUCGGGUGGUUGGUUAAAGGCCCGGGGAAUGUAUCUUGUCUUUCGGGGCAAGACUUAUAGCCCCGGGUGUCAUGCGGCCUACCUGGACUGAGGAACGCGCUCCGGCUCGGAUGUUGGCGUAAUGGUUGUCAGCGA
rnacentral:rRNA from 1 species